rnacentral:snoRNA from 1 species
AAGACUAUACUUUCAGGGAUCAUUUCUAUAGUUUGUAACUGGUGAAAUGUGCUCGAAAGUGUCAAACUCAGUAACCGCGAUGAGGAGCUGCAGUGUUUCUCUCUUGAGCGUGAAGUUGACUCUCAGUGCUGUCACAGUGCUGUAAUUCGUACUGGGGGCAAGUGUCUGGCUGU